AUUGAACGCUGGCGGCAUGCCUUACACAUGCAAGUCGAACGACGCUAGGGGCAACUCUAGCGAGUGGCGUACGGGUGAGUAAUGCAUCGGAACGUGUCCUCUCGUGGGGGAUAACCAGUCGAAAGAUUGGCUAAUACCGCAUGAGCUCGAGAGAGGAAAGCGGGGGAUCCGCAAGGACCUCGCGCGAGUGGAGCGGCCGAUGCCCGAUUAGCUAGUUGGUGGGGUAAAAGCCCACCAAGGCGACGAUCGGUAGCUGGUCUGAGAGGACGACCAGCCACACUGGGACUGAGACACGGCCCAGACUCCUACGGGAGGCAGCAGUGGGGAAUUUUGGACAAUGGGGGCAACCCUGAUCCAGCCAUGCCGCGUGUGUGAAGAAGGCCUUCGGGUUGUAAAGCACUUUCGGACGGAACGAAAUCGCGCGGGUGAACAAUCCGCGUGGAUGACGGUACCGUAAGAAGAAGCACCGGCUAACUACGUGCCAGCCGCCGCCGUAA
rnacentral:rRNA from 1 species